AACGAACGCUGGCGGCAGGCUUAACACAUGCCAGUCGAGCGAGACCUUCGGGUCUAGCGGCGGACGGGUGAGUAACGCGUGGGAACGUGCCCUUCUCUACGGAAUAGCCCCGGGAAACUGGGAGUAAUACCGUAUACGCCCUUUGGGGGAAAGAUUUAUCGGAGAAGGAUCGGCCCGCGUUGGAUUAGGUAGUUGGUGGGGUAAUGGCCCACCAAGUCGACGAUCCAUAGCUGGUUUGAGAGGAUGAUCAGCCACACUGGGACUGAGACACGGCCCAGACUCCUACGGGAGGCAGCAGUGGGGAAUCUUAGACAAUGGGGGCAACCCUGAUCUAGCCAUGCCGCGUGAGUGAUGAAGGCCUUAGGGUUGUAAAGCUCUUUCAGCUGGGAAGAUAAUGACGGUACCAGCAGAAGAAGCCCCGGCUAACUCCGUG
rnacentral:rRNA from 1 species